UUAAGUUCAGCGGGUAGUCCUACCUGAUUCGAGGUCAGAUUUCAAAGUGUGCUUGACCGCCGCUCAUACGGCGGUCGAGGCGGGGGACACGAGGCCCGGUCGGACGAGGACAAUACAACGCCCGUGGGUGCUCGGAGACCCCACCGAUUCAUUCAAGGGGAGCCGCGUCGCCGCGGCAGGCCCCCAAGUCGCCGCCAGCC
rnacentral:misc_RNA from 1 species